rnacentral:lncRNA from 1 species
CCCUUAUGUUCUAUUAUUAGCCGUGGCAGCCAUUUUGGUUGAUUGGCCAGGUCACGCCACACAUUUUUUAAACAAGUUACCCCAAUGAUGACUGUGGCCAAGUUUAGUUUAAUUUGGCCCAGUAGUUUCAGAGAAGAAGAUUUUUGUAAAAGAUUACUAAGAUUUACGAAAAAAUGGUUAAGAAUUGACUAUAAAGGGCAAUAACUCCUUCAGGGUUCAACUAACCAUUUUGGUCAUGCUGACUUAUUUGUAAAUCUUACUUUGCUGAACAUUAUUGCUGUUCACAGUUUAUCUCUAUCUAUAAUAAUAUUCAAGAUAAUAACUAAAAACAGCAAAAUUUCCUUAAAAUUACCAAUUCAGGGGCAGCAACUCAACAACAGGUUGUCCGAUUCAUCUGAAAAUUUCAGGACAGAUAGAUCUUGACCUGAUUAACACUUUUAUAGCAGUCAGAUUUGCUCUAAAUGCUUUGGUUUUUGAGGUAUAAGCCAAAAACUGCAUUUUACCCCUAUGUUCUAUUUUUAGCCAUGGCGGCCAUCUUGGUUGGUUGGCCGGGUCACGCCACACAUUUUUUAAAUUAAAUAUUCCAAAGAUGAUUGUGG